rnacentral:misc_RNA from 1 species
AACGCACAUUGCGCCCUUUAGUAUUCUGAAGGGCAUGCCUGUUCGAGCGUCAUUAUCACUAAUUCAAGCCCUGGCUUGCUGUUGGACCUCUUGUCGUUAAAGAGACAGGUCCCUAAAGAUAAUGACGGUGUCUAAUUAGACCCCUAGAUGCAACGAGCUUUACCUAGCACGCAUUGAUAGGUGACCCCUAACCCGGUCUUUUUUAACCAAUUUCUCAGGUUGACCUCGGAUCAGGUAGGAAUACCCGCUGAACUUAA